rnacentral:rRNA from 1 species
UGAGGAAUUUUGCGCAAUGGGGGAAACCCUGACGCAGCGACGCCGCGUGGAGGAUGAAGGCCUUCGGGUCGUAAACUCCUGUCAGAGGUGAAGAAUGCCCGCAAGGGUUUGACGGUAACCUCAGAGGAAGCCCCGGCUAACUACGUGCCAGCAGCCGCGGUAAUACGUAGGGGGCAAACGUUACUCGGAAUUACUGGGCGUAAAGGGUGCGUAGGCGGCUGGGAAAGUCAAGGAUGAAAUCCCGUGGCUCAACUGCGGAACGGUCCUUGAAACUACUCGGCUUGAGGAUAACCGAAGAGAACGGAAUUCCCGGUGGAGCGGUGAAAUGCGUAGAUAUCGGGAGGAACACCUGAGGCGAAAGCGGUUCUCUAGACUACUCCUGACGCUGAGGCACGAAAGCUAGGGGAGCAAACG